UAAGUACAAUGUUCCAAGUACGACAAUUUCGUAUCGCUGGCGAGUCACACGGGCGUGAAGCUGCCAGCUCGUUACACUCAGCCUGUUAUAUUUGCCGAUCUCCCACCCAAAACCUGUCUCUGGCGCCCAAUAACGAGAUUCAGAUAUAGUUAUCACUAAAACCGUUGAUUCCUGAUGUGUUUUGGCAAUGGUUAAGCGUCGAAAACCGGUACAUGCACGAGGGCGAGAUGAUGAAGGCAAGUUAUCCCAGCAUCGUUUCCAGAUUGUCGUACUCGGAGCAUUACUUUUACCAGCUUCUCCCGCAUAAAUAUCACCAGGAAACAUGAAUAAUAAACCAUUUCAACAAUAACUACAAAUAAAUAUCGUUAUUGUGACCCAGGAAACAGUUUUGGGGAUGGAAAUUCAGAAAUUGGGAAACAUGAGAAACUGAGUACGACAAUCUGGCAACGUUGUACAAUAAUCCCAGCCAUCAGCUGUUCAGUGUUUGUUUACCUCGCGCGGGGAGAGAGGAAGGGACACUGUGCUCCGUGCUAACCCUUGUUAUCCCUGCUAUCCACGUGCCCCCCUUGUUAUCCUCGUGCUCCCGGCCUUGUAGCGGUGCCGUGGCGGGGCGUGUAGGCGUUGACAUGUAAGCCCCGGUCGUCUACCCUCCGUGCCCUAUGGGGGUCCGUGGACGGGGCAGCACUCACGGUCAUCGGCACUGCCCAUACACUCAGUCCACCCUGGCGGGGACCUCACCAAUGACCUCCAUGAAAACAGGGUCCCAGACAAGCCAGUUGGUCUGAAGGCCGUGGCGCUGACUGACCACAUCAGGGUGUGUUGGCAGCCCCCCGCACAGCACAAUGUGCUGCUGUGCGGCUACACCAUUGCCUGGGACCAAGGCGUGGCGGACAUCUACUCCAAGAUCGUGGACAGCAAGCAGCACGGUUACAUCAUUGAUAAGCUGGAACCCAACAUGGAGUUUGUGAUAAGCCUGCGAGCCUUCAACAACGUGGGUGACGGGCAACCGGUGUACCAGCAAGUCCGCACCCAGCCAGAGGAGGAGGAGGUGGUGGCACCCACGCUGGACCCGGCGGUGUGGGUGAAGGCCGUGGUG